rnacentral:rRNA from 1 species
ACGCUGGCGGCGUGCUUAACACAUGCAAGUCGAGCGGAAAGGCUCCUUCGGGGGUACUCGAGCGGCGAACGGGUGAGUAACACGUGAGUAAUCUGCCCUUGGCUUUAGGGUAAGCCCCGGAAACGGGGUCUAAUACCGGAUACGACGCACUCUCGCAUGGGAUGUGUGUGGAAAGUUUUUUCGGCCAGGGAUGUGCUCGCGGCCUAUCAGCUUGUUGGUGGGGUAAUGGCCUACCAAGGCUUCGACGGUAGCCGGCCUGAGAGGGUGACCGGCCACACUGGGACUGAGACACGGCCCAGACUCCUACGGGAGGCAGCAGUGGGGAAUAUUGGACAAUGGGCGGAAGCCUGAUCCAGCAACGCCGCGUGAGGGAUGACGGCCUUCGGGUUGUAAACCUCUUUCAGUACCGACGAAGCGCCGAUGAUGGUGGUGACGGUAGGUACAGAAGAAGCACCGGCCAACUACGUG